rnacentral:rRNA from 1 species
AUUGAACGCUGGCGGCAGGCCUAACACAUGCAAGUCGAGCGGAGCGGAGGACGGGUGAGUAAUGCCUAGGAAUCUGCAAGGUAGUGGGGGAUAACGUCAGGAAACGGGCGCUGAUACCGCAUACUAUCAGAUGAGACUAGGUCGGAUUAGCUAGUUGGGUGGGUAAAGGCCUACCAAGGCGACGAUCCGGAGCUGGUCUGAGAGGAUGAGCAGUCACACUGGAACUGAGACACGGUCCAGACUCCUACGGGAGGCAGCAGUGGGGAAUAUUGGACAAUGGGCGAAAGCCUGAUCCAGCCAUGCCGCGUGUGUGAAGAAGGUCUUCGGAUUGUAAAGCACUUUAAGUUGGGAGGCGUUACCAACAGAAUAAGCACCGGCUAACUUCGUGCCAGCAGCCGCGGUAAUUC